CCUACGGGUGGCAGCAGUGAGGAAUAUUGGUCAAUGGACGCAAGUCUGAACCAGCCAUGCCGCGUGCAGGAAGACGGCUCUAUGAGUUGUAAACUUCUUUUGUACGGGGGUAAACGCAGAUACGUGUAUCUGUCUGAAAGUAUCUUACGAAUAAGGAUCGGCUAACUCCGUGCCAGCAGCCGCGGUAAUACGGAGGAUUCAAGCGUUAUCCGGAUUUAUUGGGUUUAAAGGGAGCGUAGGCGGUCUGUUAAGUUAGAGGUGAAAUCUCGAGGCUCAACUUCGGAAUUGCCUUUGAUACUGGUAGGCUAGAGAGUAGUUGAGGUAGGCGGAAUGUAUGGUGUAGCGGUGAAAUGCUUAGAGAUCACGAAGAACACCGAUUGCGAAGGCAGCUUACCAAGCUACUUCUGACGUUGAGGCACGAAAGCGUGGGGAGCAAACAGGAUUAGAUACCCCUGUAGUC
rnacentral:rRNA from 1 species